UAGCUCAGUUGGUUGGAGCGUGGUACUGAUAACACCAAGGUCGCGGGUUUGAUUCCCAU
rnacentral:tRNA from 1 species